rnacentral:misc_RNA from 1 species
UCCUUAAACGAUGAUUACUCACGAUGAGUGUCCACACAGAUUGAUAGUUCACAAGCGCAAGCUUGUAGCUAACAUAGCUCUUUAACAAUUUGGAAAGCUGACAAAACAACAAUUUAUUGUUGUUUGUAAAGUUCUCAAUGUUUAUCGAAAGAUAAACACCAAAAAACACAUUCAAGUGUUCUUGGCUUUUUGUUUUCAUUUUUUCUAAAAAUGAAGGUAAAGAGAUGAGUCCGGCAAAAUCGAAAUGUCUCUCGCUCAUUCAAAUAAUGAGAGACAACUUUGGUGACUUGUUCAUCAACUCGAAACUCCUUCGGGUUGUAU